rnacentral:rRNA from 1 species
AAGAACGAACGCUGGCGGCAGGCCUCAAACAUGCAAGUCUAGGGGGUGUAGCAAUACAUCACCGGCGGACGGGUGCGUAACACGUGGGAAUAUACCUUUUGGUUCGGAACAACGCAGGGAAACUUGCGCUAAUACCGAAUGUGCCCUUACGGGGGAAAGAUUUAUCGCCAAAGGAUUAGCCCGCGUAGGAUUAGCUAGUUGGUGAGGUAAUGGCUCACCAAGGCUCCGAUCCUUAGCUGUUCUGAGAGGAAGAUCAGCCACACUGGGACUGAGACACGGCCCAGACUCCUACGGGAGGCAGCAGUUGGGAAUCUUGGACAAUGGGGAAACCCCUGAUCCAGCCAUGCCGCGUGAGUGAUGAAGGCCUUCGGGUUGUAAAACUCUUUCGACGGGGACGAUAAUGACGGUACCCGUAGAAGAAGCUCCGGCUAACUUCGUG